CCAAUCAAAAUAGGCAGACUAACUAGGCACCCCUCAUCAAGAGAGGCAAGUAGUUGGGGCACCAACCCUUAGCACCCCAUCUAGGAUUUUUUCAUGCAAGAGAGGGGGCGUGGUCCCUCUCUCUCUCUCCUUCCAUGCCAAACCAAGAGGAGGGGGCAGGCCCCUCUCUCUUCCUCAUUCCAUUCCAAGAGGUUGGUGCCCCUUGGACCUUCCAAAA
rnacentral:lncRNA from 1 species